GUUGGWUYUACCCGAAGACGGUGCGCUAACCCGCAAGGGAGGCAGCCGGCCACGGUARGGUCAGCGACUGGGGUGAAGUCGUAACAAGGUAGCCGUAGGUGAACCUGCAGAAGGAUCA
rnacentral:rRNA from 1 species